rnacentral:hammerhead_ribozyme from 1 species
GCACUGCUGAAGAGUCCCAAACUAGGAUGGAGGAAACAGGUGUCCAGUAC